GUAGGAAAACAAAAUCUAAUACAGAUCCAUGCGCGUGUACGCUGAGAAUGCUGGUUUCAUGGAAACUUCAAUACCGAGUCGUUCGAUUUUUGCCCGUCUAUUAUAUAAGGAAGAAAUGCACGAGAGCGUUUCAAAGCAAAAAAGAAAAUGGUUUGUGAGAAGUUAAACAAAUGGCUUCUAUUAAUUUAUUGACAGUUCAGAAAUGGUGAUUGAUUCUACGUAUUUGUAAUGUUCUGGAAAAUCUCAGUUUUGUGUGGGGUUGGAGAAAUGUAUUGGGGAUUUGGAGGGAGUUUUGUUCCACAGCGAGGUGUCGGUGGUUGGUGUGCAAUAUGCAGGAGGUGGUGGGAAGAGUACUCUAGAGUUUUGUCUAUGAAAUCAUCUUCAAAUUAAAGAAAAUGUGUGGAAAACUUAUUAUUUGAAGGUCAAUGAUACAAAACUUUUAGAGCUACCAGAGAUAAAUCCACAAUCCCCACAGCCCCCACUGCAGAACGCUCUCAACUACCAUUGUUGGGCCCAGAGGAUGCUCUGUUGCCUCUGUGCUUCUGGUCUUUUGGACAGACAUUUUAAGAGCUACAGAUGCAAAUAUAGUAAAGGAGGUGCAAGCAGAAUGUGAUGAUCUGCCACUUGCUCUGAAGGUGAUUGGGAGAUCUUCGCAUGGGAGCCCUAGUGGAUUGGAAUGGAGAAUAACAUCAGAUUUAUCACAGAUUGAUAAUCUUCGCUAUGUAGAUUGCUGCAGGCCAGUAUUGACUCCUUAGGUGAUCCAGAUAAUGAUUGUUUCUUAGACUUGGUGUUAUUUCUAGAGGACAAGAAAAUAUGUGGUGAUGCACUAUUGGAUAUUUGUGUUUAUGUUCAAAACCUGCAAAGGUGUGACGCUUUUGGUAUCUUAUCUGAAUUUGCAAGCCGAAACCUGUUAAAUUUAAGUAGCAACCCAAGAUUGGUGCAGGCCAGUAUUGACUCCUUAGGUGAUCCAGAUAAUGAUUGUUUCUUAGACUUGGUGUUAUUUCUAGAGGACAAGAAAAUAUGUGGUGAUGUACUAUUGGAUACUUGUGUUUAUGUUCAAAACCUGCAAAGGUGUGACGCUUUUGGUAUCUUAUCUGAAUUUGCAAGCCGAAACCUGUUAAAUUUAAGUAGCAACCCAAGGGGAAGUACAACAAUCCUAUAUAGAAAUUCCUUGGAGCUAUACUUCUCUCAGCAUAAUGCAAUGCCAAAUCUGACCUUGUAAGGGCAGUUGCAUAAUGAUCGUGCAAUCCAUUUGACCGUCAAAUUCUCUCCAUUUCCAUUGAUCCUUUGGAGGAAAUUACUGGCAUGAUAUGAAUUUCCCUGAGACAGAGGCUCUGUUAAUCUUUCGUGGGACAGAGUACUUUCUUGAAUCUUCCCCCAUAUUUGAAAUCCUAGUUUUUUUAUGGCAUUCAAUUGUAAGUGAAAGGUCUAGAUGUCUUAUCUUUACUCGCUCAACCCUAAGAGUGUCCACUUGGAGAUAUUGAUUUCACCCCUUGUUGAAAAACAGAAUUAUGAAGAAUACAGAACUUGGAGAAAAUAUCUUUGAGCUCAUGUGAAGGAUUUGGAAAGAUAUCCACAUUCAGUACAAGCAAUCUUAUAUCAUUUUAACCUGGAUCGAAGUAGCAAUUUUGAAGAGUUAGCCCUCGCUAUCUCGGAUAUGUCCUCUCUGUCAUGGUCUAUUACCAAUGGCUCAGUACAAAAUGCCAUCAUGAAAGCACUGACACUAUGUGCACAAUGUGCUGGCAGUUUACGGUAGAGAUGUGCUUCCACAAUUUUAACUCUAAGCUCUGGAGUAGAAACUUUCUUGGCCAGCAACCACUUUCUCAAUUUUCUCAUCACAUACAAGAAGCUUGAGGGAACUUAGGUCACAAAUAGUUGUAGGUAACCUCUUCAAACGAGAACAUUCUCUCGCAUCAAACUCCCUCAAUUUCUUGAGUUGUCCUAUUUUCUCUGGAAGUUCUUCCAAAUUCUUUCAUACUGAAAUAUCUAGAUAUUCCAACUGUCCAAGUUUCCCAAUUUAUACUGGAAGCUCUUUCAGGACCAGUAAAGUCAAUAAUCUUGAUAUUAUUAGAUUGCUCAUAUUUCCGAGAUCAUAUGGUAAAUUCAGAUGCAGAUGUCCGUUGGUUGAGGAAAAGCUUAAAGAGCUACCAUGCUCUGGUGAACCUGCUGGCUUUUUACAUUAGCACCAGUUCUAUUAAUUACCGUUGUUGAAGGAUGUUUUCUGUUGCUUUCUUGCUUCUGGAUUUUUGGACAGAUCAAUUCUAAGCACUAUAGAUGCAAAUCUAGUAAAGGAGUGCGUGUGCAAGCAGAAUGUGCUGGUAUGCCACUUGCUCUGAAGGUAAUUAAAAGCUCUUUGUAUUGGGAGCCAUAAUAUGUUUGGGAAAGGGCAAAGAACAAGAUUUGUAAAGGAGAAUAGAUUUCAGAUUAUCACAGAAAAGUAAUUUUUAGAUUGCUGCAGGCCUGUAUUGACUCCUUAGAUUAGUGUGUCUUAUGCUUGGAGUUAUUUGCAGAGGACAAGAAAAUCAGUAGAGAUGCAUUAUUGGUUAUCUGGGUUUAUCUUUUAAACCUACAAAGCUAUGAUGCUUUUGCUAUUUCAUCUAGAACUUGCAAGCAAAAACCUGUUACUUCACAGCAUUCAAAGGGAAAGUAAAACAAUCCCAUAUGGAAAUGCCUCGGAGCUAUGCUUUUCUUAGCAUGAUGUAAUAUGAGAUCUGGCCUUGUAUUUGGCACACCAAGACAAUGUAGUCAACAGCAACAGGUUGGUCAUAACAAAUAGGGAAUCUAGUUUGCUUGGUGAAGGGGAGUUCCUUAAUGAUAGUGUAUUUGAUAUUCAAAUCAUCUCCAUUCACACCGGUGAGUUAUUUACACAUGGAUUUUUUUCAAAUACAUAGUUUUUGGAAAUGCUAACCAUUAUUUUUAAUGUUCACCUUUACUGUCAAAUUGUGGAAUAGAAUCAAAAUUCAAGCAUUUUUUUCUGCAUAAUAUUGCUUUAACUUCUAUGUCAUGCACAAAAUCUAUUUCAGAUUGACAUUGAAAUACUAAUACUAAUAUUCUAAUCCCUUGUUCAGAGGAUGAACUCAACAGUCUAUGUAAAUUAUUCAAAAUAUCUAGAUUUUUUGGAUGCAACACUUACUGUUUUCAAUUUUCAACUGUCUUAUCAUCACUCACUCAAGUCAAGAGUGUCCGCUUGGAGAGGUUGAUUCCACCCCUUGGUGAAAAACUGAGCAUUGAAGCACUGCAGAACUAAGAGAAGCUAUUUUUGAGCUUAUGUGAAGGAUUUGGAGAUAUAUCCACUUUCAUCAACACCCAGCUACCAGAUUUUAACCUGGACCACAGCAGUGAUUUGGAGGAGUUACCCCUCAGUAUUUGCAAUAUGCCCUUCUACACUUUCAUGUUCUAUUAGCAACUUCCAUCUGCUUCAAAAUUUGCCUUAUGAUUUUGGAAAUAUGAGCUAUCUAAGAAUGUCAAGGUUAUCUGCAUUGCCACGCCUGGAACAGCUUCCUGCGUCAAUUGGAAAACUUGGAUAGUUGGAAUAUCUAGACAUUUCACUAUGUGAGGGGUUGAAAGAACUUCCAAAGGAAAUUGGACAAGUCAACAAAUUAAGGGAGCUUGAUAUGAGAUAGUGUUUUCGUUUGAUGACGUUAUCUUCAACUGUUUGUGAACUAAGUUCCCUAAAGCUUGUUACCUCUGAUGAGACAAUUGGGAAGCUGUGGUUGUGGACCAAGAACAUUUCUUUUCUUGAGCUUAGAGUUGAAAUUGUGGAAGUACAAUUUAGUUUGAAUUGUUUUGAUGAAUGACUUAUUUUCUAAUCUUUCAUGUUGAAGGACAAGAUCCAAGGUUCUUGACAUCCUUGUGAAAGUUCCAACACAUUUUGAUACUCGUUGGCACAAAUCAAUAUAAGUUCCUGUCUAUUUUCAGCCUA